GUGAGAGGUGCUCAGUUAGGACCAAGGUCAGUAGAAGAUGGAGAAGAAGGAUGCCCCAUGCCAUAUUACUGCUACUGCCACACGUAGGCCGAAAAGAUGGCACUGAAACCGGCAGCAGUAUCUCUGACUCUAAGUACCGUUUACGAAGAUACCAGAAGCGUCCUACUCAGAGACACGUUUCGUGUUCGACACAUGCAGCCCCAUACCCAUGUUUUGCAUUGACGAUAUUUUCCCCGAUAUGGUGCACUCUAGGCAUAAUGACUAUGUGGACAUCUAACUGACGUGAAUGACUCUAAGUGCCGUUUACGAAGAUACCAGAAGCGUCCUACUCAGAGACGGGUUUCGUGUUCGACACAUGCAGCCCCACACCCUUGCCAAGAUUGCCUCCUAUGCCAACGUUUGUCUGCUCGUUAAUUUGCAGGGACGACAUUUAAACACUGCCAUUCCCUUUGCCAAGAUACUGCAAAAUGCACAUACGACUGAUAGAAGCUGCCCUAGUCUUCCGUAUUUUGGAACAGGACACGGACUGGAACAUGUGAAAAUUACUUGUUGACAGUCGUUCAUGAUUUUCAAAAUGAUCGCUUUGUAUUAAAUUUUCUGCAUACUGAAAUGGCGCACUUAGAUUGAUCGUUUUUCAUUUUCCAAAAAAUCAGACAUCAAUUAUUAUGUACAGACACAUCUGUGUCUGUACAUAUAGCCGUCACCU